rnacentral:rRNA from 1 species
AUUUGAUCAUGGCUCAGGAGUGAACGCUGGCGGCAGGCCUAAUACAUGCAAGUCGAACGGCAGCACAGCAGAGCUUGCUCUGUGGGUGGCGAGUGGCGGACGGGUGAGGAAUACAUGGGAAUCUGCCCAGUCGUGGGGGAUAACGUAGGGAAACUUACGCUAAUACCGCAUGCGCCCUUCGGGGGGAAAGCCGGGGACCUUCGGGCCUGGCGCGAUUGGAUGAGCCCAUGUCGGAUUAGCUAGUUGGCGGGGUAAUGGCCCACCAAGGCGACGAUCCGUAGCUGGUCUGAGAGGAUGAUCAGCCACACUGGAACUGAGACACGGUCCAGACUCCUACGGGAGGCAGCAGUAGGGAAUAUUGGACAAUGGGCGCAAGCCUGAUCCAGCCAUGCCGCGUGAGUGAAGAAGGCCCUCGGGUUGUAAAGCUCUUUUGUCCGGAAAGAAAAGCGCCGGGUUAAUACCCUAGUGUCCUGACGGUACCGGAAGAAUAAGCACCGGCUAACUUCGUG